ensembl:misc_RNA Metazoa_SRP Metazoan signal recognition particle RNA
GCCGGGCGUGGUGGUGCACGCUUGUAAUCCCAGGUACGUGGGAGGCUGAGGCAGGAGAAUUGCUUGAACUCAGGAGGCAGAGGAUGCAGUGAGCCAAGAUCAUGUCACUGCACUCCAACCUGGGCGACAGAGCAAGACUCUGUCUCAA